AACGAACGCUGGCGGUGCGUUUUAAGCAUGCAAGUCGAACGGCAAGAGAAGAGCUUGCUCUUCUCCUAGAGUGGCGGACUGGUGAGUAACACGUGGGUAAUCUGCCCUAAAGAUGGGGAUAGCCACUAGAAAUAGCGGGUAAUACCGAAUACGCUCACUUUCAUAAAAGAAAGUGAGGAAAGGGAGCUACGGCUUCGCUUUAGGAUGAGCCUGCGGCCUAUUAGCUUGUUGGUGGGGUAAGAGCCUACCAAGGCGACGAUAGGUAUCCGGCCUGAGAGGGUGAACGGACACAUUGGGACUGAGAUACGGCCCAAACUCCUACGGGAGGCAGCAGCUAAGAAUCUUCCGCAAUGGACGAAAGUCUGACGGAGCGACACCGCGUGAAUGAAGAAGGCCGAAAGGUUGUAAAGUUCUUUUGCAGAUGAAGAAUAAUCACGGGAGGGAAUGCCUGUGAGAUGACGGUAGUUAUGCGAAUAAGCCCCGGCUAAUUACGUGCCAGCAGCCGCGGUAAUACGUAAGGGGCGAGCGUUGUUCGGAAUUAUUGGGCGUAAAGGGCACGAAGGCGGAUUGGUAAGCCUGAUGUGAAAUGCCGGAGCUUAACUCCGGAGCUGCAUUGGGUACUGCCAAACUAGAAUCACAGAGGGGAAAUCGGAAUUCCAAGUGUAGGGGUGGAAUCUGUAGAUAUUUGGAAGAACACCGGUGGCGAAGGCGGAUUUCUAGCUGAUGAUUGACGCUCAUGUGCGAAAGUGAGGGGAGCAAACAGGCUUAGAUACCCUGGUAGUCCACACAGUAAACGAUGUACACUAGGUGUUGGGGUGUAGACCUCGGUGCCGAAGCAAACGCAUUAAGUGUACCGCCUGGGGAGUAUGCCGGCAACGGUGAAACUCAAAGGAAUUGACGGGGGCCCACACAAGCGGUGGAACAUGUGGUUUAAUUCGAUGAUACGCGAGAAACCUUACCCGGGUUUGACAUUCUGAGGAAUGAUAUAGAGAUAUGUCAGCAUAGCAAUAUGUCUUAGGACAGGUGCUGCAUGGCUGUCGUCAGCUCGUGCCGUGAGGUGUUGGGUUAAGUCCCGCAACGAGCGCAACCCCUACUGUCGGUUACCAGCAAGUAAAGUUGGGGACUCCGGCGGAACUGCCGAUGACAAAUCGGAGGAAGGUGGGGACGACGUCAAGUCAUCAUGGCCCUUAUGCCCGGGGCUACACACGUGCUACAAUGGUUGCCACAAAGCGAAGCGACACUGUGAGGUUAAGCGAAUCGCAAAAAAGCAAUCGUAGUCCGGAUUGGAGUUCUGAAACUCGACUCCAUGAAGUUGGAAUCGCUAGUAAUCGCGCAUCAGCACGGCGCGGUGAAUACGUUCCUGGGCCU
rnacentral:rRNA from 1 species